rnacentral:tRNA from 1 species
AGUUAAUGAGCUUGAACAAGCAUAUGUUUUGAAAACAUAAGAUAGAAAAAGAAAUUUCUAUUAACUU